UUGAAGAGCAGCGCCGGAGCCUGGGGACGGUUUGGGGUGAACUAAGCCUGGACGGCAGAAAGCACCUGAGAGCGUUCCUCAAACCCGGGGAGCCACAACCACAGAUGAUGUCCGACCAAGCCCAAACAGACUUAAAGUAUUCCAUACAGGGCUCAGAGCCGAUUGCACCAGUUACCUCUGCUGCCGAACGUGGUUUCUUUGCCGCCGGAGACAGCUCUUGGAGAAUAAAGGAAUGACGUUUGAUGCUGAACUAGCAACGUUUCUUCUAAACUGCUACGCUGAGGGUGGCCAUUAUUACUCCAGGAGAUCCAACUGGCCUAGGAAGAAAAUGUUAAAAACUCUGGUGUCAUCUGCAGAAAAGCAGAGGCUUUCGGCAUGGGGACAGCUGGUUUUGCUGUCUGGUAGCUUGGGAUUUUUGUGGUGUUCUCUUGUGUCUUUUUUGUGUGUUUUGUUGUCUUAAUUUAGGGCCCUGAUUCUUUUGUACAUCCAUGUUAAAUAAACCAUAUGUUAUUUUGGA